rnacentral:rRNA from 1 species
GGUUAAGUUAUUAAGGGCGCAUGGUGGAUGCCUUGGCACUAGGAGCCGAUGAAGGACGUGACUAACUGCGAUAAGCUUCGGGGAGUUGUAAGUAAACUGUGAUCCGGAGAUUUCCGAAUGGGGAAACCCAACAGGAGUAAAGACCUGUUAUCACUGAGUGAAUACAUAGCUCAGUUGAAGGUAGACGUGGGGAACUGAAACAUCUAAGUACCCAUAGGAAGAGAAAGAAAAUUCGAUUCCCUGAGUAGCGGCGAGCGAAAAGGGAACAGCCCAAACCAAGAAGCUUGCUUCUUGGGGUUGUAGGACUGGACAUUUGAGUUACCAAGAAACGAAGUAGUUGAAUGAUUUGGGAAGAUCAGCCAGAGAAGGUGAUAGCCCUGUAAGCGAAACUUCGUUUCCUCAGCCCAGUAUCCUGAGUACGGCGGAACACGUGAAACUCCGUCGGAAUCCGGGAGGACCAUCUCCCAAGGCUAAAUACUCCCUAGUGACCGAUAGUGAACCAGUACCGUGAGGGAAAGGUGAAAAGCACCCCGGGAGGGGAGUGAAAUAGUUCCUGAAACCAUGUGCCUACAAGUAGUCAGAGCCCGUUAAUGGGUGAUGGCGUGCCUUUUGUAGAAUGAACCGGCGAGUUACGUUAGCGUGCGAGGUUAAGGCGCAAAGGCCGGAGCCGUAGCGAAAGCGAGUCUGAAUAGGGCGAAUGAGUACGUUGACGUAGACCCGAAACCAGGUGACCUACCCAUGUCCAGGUUGAAGGUGCGGUAAGACGCACUGGAGGACCGAACCCGUGUAUGUUGAAAAAUGCUGGGAUGAGGUGUGGGUAGAGGUGAAAUUCCAAACGAACUUGGAGAUAGCUGGUUCUCUCCGAAAUAGCUUUAGGGCUAGCCUCGGAGUUAAGGAUCGUGGAGGUAGAGCACUGUUUGGACUAGGGGCCCGUCUUGGGUUACUGAAUUCAGAUAAACUCCGAAUGCCACAGAUCUAUAUCCGGGAGUCAGACUGCGAGUGAUAAGAUCCGUAGUCGAAAGGGAAACAGCCCAGACCACCGAUUAAGGUCCCUAAAUAUGUGUUAAGUGGAAAAGGAUGUGGAAUUGCACAGACAACUAGGAUGUUGGCUUAGAAGCAGCCACCAUUUAAAGAGUGCGUAAUAGCUCACUAGUCGAGUGAUCCUGCGCCGAAAAUGUAACGGGGCUAAACACAUUACCGAAAUCGUGGAUGCAACUAUGUUGCAUGGUAGGAGAGCGUUCUAAGGGCGAUGAAGCUAGACCGUAAGGACUGGUGGAGCGCUUAGAAGUGAGAAUGCCGGUAUGAGUAGCGAAAGAUCAGUGAGAAUCUGGUCCACCGUAUGACUAAGGUUUCCUGGGGAAGGCUCGUCCUCCCAGGGUUAGUCGGGACCUAAGCCGAGGCCGAGAGGCGUAGGCGAUGGAUAACAGGUUGAGAUUCCUGUACUGGUUUGAUUUGUUUGAACGAUGGAGGGACGCAGAAGGCUAGAGAUGCGUGCUGUUGGAUAUGCACGUCCAAGCAACGAGUCUGAUGAUGAGUCAAAUGCUUAUCGUCUUAAGGACAAGUUGUGACGGGGAGCGAAAUUAAAGUAGCGAAGUGAUCGAUGUCACACUGCCGAGAAAAGCUUCUAGUUAGAAUCAGACCACCCGUACCGCAAACCGACACAGGUAGUCGAGGCGAGUAGCCUAAGGUGAGCGAGAGAACUCUCGUUAAGGAACUCGGCAAAAUGACCCCGUAACUUCGGGAGAAGGGGUGCUGCACAAUGUGCAGCCGCAGUGAAUAGGCCCAGGCGACUGUUUAUCAAAAACACAGGUUUCUGCAAAAUCGUAAGAUGAAGUAUAGGGGCUGACGCCUGCCCGGUGCUGGAAGGUUAAGAGGAUGGGUUAGCGUAAGCGAAGCUCAGAAUUGAAGCCCCAGUAAACGGCGGCCGUAACUAUAACGGUCCUAAGGUAGCGAAAUUCCUUGUCGGGUAAGUUCCGACCCGCACGAAAGGCGUAACGA